AUGAACUACUUCCCAGAACUAGUGACUGCACUCUUCGUAAUGUUUGGAGAAAGCAAUGGAGACUCAGUGACUCAGACAGAAGGCCAAGUGACACUCUUUGAAGGGACCUCUCUGACUGUGAACUGUUCCUAUGAAACCAAACAGUACCCAGCCCUGUUCUGGUACGUGCAGUACCCAGGAGAAGGUCCAAAGCUCCUCUUCAAAGUCUCAAAGGCCAACGAGAAGGGAAGCAGCGGAGGUUUUGAAGCUACAUAUGAUGAAGGAUCCACUUCCUUCCACUUGCAGAAAGCCUCAGUCCAAGAGUCAGAUUCGGCUGUGUACUACUGUGCUCUGGGUGCCACAGUAACAGAAACCACAGGGGGAGCUGAGCACAAACUCUGGGAAGCACAGGCCUGGCUGCUGAGUGUGUCUGAGAUCACCCAUUUAGGGACCAGGGACAGAUCUGCUAUUAUUUACACUCACCACACACUCAGGCACUGCUACAGUGUAAACCAUACAAAUUAA